ACUUAGUGGGAAAAGGCUUUGUUGUUGUUGUUGUUGUUGGUAGAAGUUGUUACACGUAGAGACAAAUUAUAAGACUAUACUAUGAAGAGAGAGAGUUUUUGAUUUAUUUCAUAGAAAAAUGAAGGGUAAAUUACACAAAACUACCUCAACUAUGAGUCGCACCAUAAUUUUAUACCUCAUGUUUUAAACAUUGCAACGUCAUACCUUAACUUAUGAAUUCGUUGCAAUGUCAUACCUCCGUUAGUGAUUCUGUCAAAUUGGGCGUUAAGUGAUGAUUUGGCAAAUGGAGGGCUCAUAUAUUUUCUAACGUGGCAGUCCACUUGUGCCAGCCAUUAAACAAAAUUAUAAAAUAUAUCAUUUAAAAUGAUAAAAUUUUAGGGUAAAGUACAAAAAACUACCUCA
rnacentral:lncRNA from 1 species